rnacentral:lncRNA from 1 species
AACAAGAAUUACAGAAUAAGAAGGAAAGGAAAAUGCAGAGAAAAAUAUUAGAUGUUCAUUGGUCAUAUACCUCCCCAAAGUGCAGUACAUUAGGUAUUUAAAGGAAAAAGUAAAAUGUGCAAAGGCUAACUACGGGGUUAAAAGCAAAACUACUAACUAAUUUUAGGACUAAAGUGUAACUUCGAAAAACACUAUAAAUCCUCCAGCCAUAUCUUCAUCAUUUCGUUACAUUUAUUUUAUUAUGACUGCUAGAUCAAUUGCAUUGCGGUCUAGAUUGAACAAAAAAAGACUUCAUGCUUGCACUAUAAAUCCUCCAGCCAUGUCUUCAUCAAUUCGUUACAUUCCACCCCCUUAGAACAACCUUGUCUUCAAGGUUGAAAUGAACACUGCUGAACAACUCCACAAUGGAAAAUGAAAUAUACUGCAGUGACACUUUCAACUUCUUGUAUACUGAUGCCUCAAGCAAGAGUCUUUCACUCACGAAAUGAGGCAGCAAGCUUAGGAAUCCUAGUCCGAACACAAGCCAUUCAACACCUUCUAGCACCAGUGUGGAAGCCAAGAAAAUCCCCAUACUAAAAACAACAGUUGCAACACCACUUAAAGAUAUCAAGUCACCACUAAUAAGAAAUGAAUAAGUUGUCACAAUAGAUAGCAAAAAAUGUAGACAAUGCAUUAGUGAUCGUGACUGCUGCAGAGACCCACAUAUUUUGCACCAAUAAUCUUGACUAAGAUGACCAAUUUCAACAACAUCACCUUGGCUCCAGAAUAGAGGUGAAAUGCACUUGCAAGCUAAUACGUCAAUAGUGCCAACUCUAGGAUCCAAAGCAAAGAAGUUUUCUUUAUAUUCUUGUUUGAAAUCCUCAAAUAACAUGACAUUAGCAAGUAAAUACUUAUUUGGGACUACAAAAAGAACGAAACCAUGAUCAUAUUAUCUCCAUCACGGACUUGUACUAUGUCAUAUGCACGACCCACAAUAUCUAUUAUAUGGUAGAUCCUUGUGAUCGAUAACACAGUAUCUGGAUUGCACCACCAGGUUUCUGGUUUGUACCAUAGCCUUGGAUAAAGUGAUUCCCUUGACAGUAAUAGAAACAUCAUUUUGCACCAUACAAUUUCAAUGGAGAAGAACUCCAAAACAGUAAAUGAAUUAGGAAAAUGAAAAAGUCCACCCACCCCCUUCUUACUCCAUUGCUCAACCAUGGAACCUCUCGCUUCCUCCACUGAUAAUAAAUUGUCAUCCCUCAAGUAGCUUAACAGUGAUAUGGAUAAUCCAUUUUCAAUGCCCUUAACCCAGGCAGACAUUUGUGAGAUGGACCACCAUAAAGAGACACACAAGAAUAUAUCUGUAGCUCCUAUUAAAGCAUACUGAGGAACCUGCCAAAAGAAGCUAAGAGCAUUUUAGCCUUCAAAUUUUUUACACAAAAAAAUAAGUUCCAACUCCCAUGUCUCUGCAGAUAUUCUACUUGGCUGAGUACCUGUUACUCCAGUAUCAUCAGUUAUGAGCAUCAACAUCAUAUGCUUCAUAAGAGGAUAAAAAGUUACUGCACAAACGACAAAACAAUAUAGAUUUCCUCAUUUGUCGGCGGGUGCUCACGUUUUCCAUAAUGUUUCUUCAUAAGUUCAAACAAGUAUUGAUCCUUUUCUAUCCAACCUUUCUGACUGCAAUCCAUUAGAACACCACCACCACCACCACCACCAACAACAACAACCCAGUAUAAUCCCACUAAGUGGGGUCUGGGGAGGGUAGUAUGUACGCAGA